rnacentral:lncRNA from 1 species
UUAAUUAAUAAUUAAAAUAAUAUAUAAAAAAUUAAAAAGACAUUUGAAAAUGUUGAUGCAACAUAUAUUACCCCUCGAUAGAUAAAUAUGACUUAGGAUAAUACAAAUUAAAAAUAAAUAAAAAAGGGAAAGUCACCAUGUGACCCUAAAUCAAUUAAAAAUAAAAAUGAAAUAUAAAAUGCAGUAAUUGGGAUUCGAAGUGAGCAC